rnacentral:rRNA from 1 species
UUUUGGACAAUGGGCGAAAGCCUGAUCCAGCAAUGCCGCGUGCAGGAAGAAGGCCUUCGGGUUGUAAACUGCUUUUGUCCCGAACGAAACGGCCUUUUCUAAUAAAGAGGGCUAAUGACGGUACCGUAAGAAUAAGCACCGGCUAACUACGUGCCAGCAGCCGCGGUAAUACGUAGGGUGCGAGCGUUAAUCGGAAUUACUGGGCGUAAAGCGUGCGCAGGCGGUUAUGUAAGACAGUUGUGAAAUCCCCGGGCUCAACCUGGGACUUGCAUCUGUGACUGCAUAGCUAGAGUACGGUAGAGGGGGAUGGAAUUCCGCGUGUAGCAGUGAAAUGCGUAGAUAUGCGGAGGAACACCGAGGCGAAGGCAAUCCACUGACCUGUACUGACGCUCAUGCACGAAA